rnacentral:rRNA from 1 species
CCUACGGGUGACAGCAGUGGGGAAUAUUGGGCAAUGGGCGCAAGCCUGACCCAGCAACGCCGCGUGAAGGAAGAAGGCUUUCGGGUUGUAAACUUCUUUUCUCAGGGACGAAGCAAGUGACGGUACCUGCGGAAUAAGCACCGGCUAACUACGUGCCAGCAGCCGCGGUAAUACGUAGGUGGCAAGCGUUAUCCGGCUGUACUGGGUGUAUAGGGCUUGUCGGCGGGAAAGCAAGUCAGAUGUGAAAACCAUGGGCUCAACCUGUGGACUGCAUUUGAAACUGUUUUUCUUGAGUACGGGAGAGGCAGGCGGAAUUCCUAGUGUAGCGGUGAAAUGCGGAGAUAUUAGGAGGAACACCAGUGGCGAAGGCGGUCUGCUGGACAGCAACUGACGCUGAGGCGCGAAAGCGUGGGGAGCAAACAGGAUUAGAUACCCCGGUAGUC